UACGGGGGGUGCGAGCGUUAAUCGGAAUUACUGGGCGUAAAGCGCACGUAGGCGGCUUUGUAAGUUAGAGGUGAAAGCCUGGGGCUCAACUCCAGAAUUGCCUUUAAGACUGCAUCGCUUGAACGUCGGAGAGGUGAGUGGAAUUCCGAGUGUAGAGGUGAAAUUCGUAGAUAUUCGGAAGAACACCAGUGGCGAAGGCGGCUCACUGGACGACUGUUGACGCUGAGGUGCGAAAGCGUGGGGAGCAAACAGG
rnacentral:rRNA from 1 species